GACGAACGCUGGCGGCGUGCUUAACACAUGCAAGUCGAACGGAAAGGCCCUGCUUUUGUGGGGUGCUCGAGUGGCGAACGGGUGAGUAACACGUGAGUAACCUGCCCUUGACUUUGGGAUAACUUCAGGAAACUGGGGCUAAUACCGGAUAGGAGCUCCUGCUGCAUGGUGGGGGUUGGAAAGUUUCGGCGGUUGGGGAUGGACUCGCGGCUUAUCAGCUUGUUGGUGGGGUAGUGGCUUACCAAGGCUUUGACGGGUAGCCGGCCUGAGAGGGUGACCGGCCACAUUGGGACUGAGAUACGGCCCAGACUCCUACGGGAGGCAGCAGUGGGGAAUAUUGCACAAUGGGCGGAAGCCUGAUGCAGCAACGCCGCGUGCGGGAUGACGGCCUUCGGGUUGUAAACCGCUUUCGCCUGUGACGAAGCGUGAGUGACGGUAAUGGGUAAAGAAGCACCGGCUAACUACGUGCCAGCAGCCGCGGUGAUACGUAGGGUGCGAGCGUUGUCCGGAUUUAUUGGGCGUAAAGGGCUCGUAGGUGGUUGAUCGCGUCGGAAGUGUAAUCUUGGGGCUUAACCCUGAGCGUGCUUUCGAUACGGGUUGACUUGAGGAAGGUAGGGGAGAAUGGAAUUCCUGGUGGAGCGGUGGAAUGCGCAGAUAUCAGGAGGAACACCAGUGGCGAAGGCGGUUCUCUGGGCCUUUCCUGACGCUGAGGAGCGAAAGCGUGGGGAGCGAACAGGCUUAGAUACCCUGGUAGUCCACGCUGUAAACGGUGGGUACUAGGUGUGGGGUCCAUUCCACGGGUUCCGUGCCGUAGCUAACGCUUUAAGUACCCCGCCUGGGGAGUACGGCCGCAAGGCUAAAACUCAAAGGAAUUGACGGGGCCCCGCACAAGCGGCGGAGCAUGCGGAUUAAUUCGAUGCAACGCGUAGAACCUUACCUGGGUUUGACAUGGAUCGGGAGUGCUCAGAGAUGGGUGUGCCUCUUUUGGGGUCGGUUCACAGGUGGUGCAUGGCUGUCGUCAGCUCGUGUCGUGAGAUGUUGGGUUAAGUCCCGCAACGAGCGCAACCCUUGUUCACUGUUGCCAGCACGUUAUGGUGGGGACUCAGUGGAGACCGCCGGGGUCAACUCGGAGGAAGGUGGGGAUGACGUCAAGUCAUCAUGCCCCUCAUGUCCAGGGCUUCACGCAUGCUACAAUGGCUGGUACAGAGAGUGGCGAGCCUGUGAGGGUGAGCGAAUCUCGGAAAGCCGGUCUCAGUUCGGAUUGGGGUCUGCAACUCGACCUCAUGAAGUCGGAGUCGCUAGUAAUCGCAGAUCAGCAACGCUGCGGUGAAUACGUUCCCGGG
rnacentral:rRNA from 1 species